rnacentral:rRNA from 1 species
GACGGAGGGGGCUAGCGUUGUUCGGAAUGACUGGGCGUAAAGGGCGCGUAGGCGGUGCUAUAAGCGAGGCGUGAAAGCCCUGGGCUUAACCCAGGAGGUGCGUUUCAUACUGUGGUGCUAGAGUGCGAGAGAGGAAAGUGGAAUUCCUAGUGUAGAGGUGAAAUUCGUAGAUAUUAGGAAGAACACCAGAGGCGAAGGCGGCUUUCUGGCUCGCAACUGACGCUGAGGCGCGAAAGCGUGGGGAGCAAACAGG